rnacentral:rRNA from 1 species
CGCAUCUGUGCAUGCAGCAUAUCAAUAAGCGGAGGAAAAGAAACUAACAAGGAUUCCCUUAGUAACGGCGAGUGAAGCGGGAAGAGCUCAAAUUUGAAAUCUUCAAGGUUUUACCUUGACGAAUUGUAGUUUAAAGAAGUGCUUUCUGUUGAAGUUUUGGUAAAAGUUCUUUGGAAUAGGACAUCAUAGAGGGUGAGAAUCCCGUAUUUGACCAUUAUUUUCAGCUGUGUGAUACACUUUCAAAGAGUCGGAUUGUUUGGGAAUGCAGUCCAAAAUGGGUGGUAAAUUUCAUCUAAAGCUAAAUAUUGGCGAGAGACCGAUAGCGAACAAGUACCGUGAGGGAAAGAUGAAAAGAACUUUGAAAAGAGAGUUAAACAGUACGUGAAAUUGUCAAAAGGGAAGCGUUUGACACCAGUGUUGUUUUCUCGAAAAUCAAUUAAAAAGAGUUAGAUUUUGUUGUGUAUUGACCUUAACAGCUUGCAUUUCAAUUUUCUUGCUUUUUUUAAUGCACUUUUCGUUUAACAAGUCAACAUCAGUUUCUUUUGUUGUAAAAAGGUCAUUGGAAGGUGGCUUUCUUUUCGGAGAAAGUGUUUAUAGCCUUUGACUCCUGCAAUCGGAGAGACUGAGGUCUGCAGCGUAGAUCCUUCGGGGUUAGAUACAUUUGUGCUAAGUUAUAGCUUUUUAUAGACAACUUGUUGACUAUGAUUAGUCUUGUAGCUUACUCGCUUAUGCUAUUUUACCUACGCUUAGGAUGUUGAUGUGAUACUGCGAGC